UCAGAGACAGAGAAGAGCUGAACCAUCUGAAACUUGCUCUCUCUCUCAAAACUCAUGAUCAAGGAACUGCCUGCCUCCAGAGGGAAUCUCCACCUGCCUCUGGAUGAUAACGAUUCUGAUCAACUCUGAGCAAUCUGUAUCGCCUCCUAGAAGAGCUGGGGAGAGCGGAGGAUUAACUCCUGGAGGACAAACCUUAUGAGGAAAGACUAAGGGAUUUGGGACUGUUCGGCCUGGGGAAGAGAAGACUGAGGGAGGACUUGGUGGCUGUCUGUAAGUACAUAAUGUGUGAAUAUCAGGAGCUGGGAGAAAAACUGUUCACUGGGGCAACCCAGGAAGGACACAGCAGUGGCCAUAAACUGUUAGAGGAUGGUUUCAGGUUGGAUGCAAGGAAGAACCUCUUUACGGUAAGGGUGACCAGAAUCUGCAAUAGACUUCCCAAGGAGGAGGUGCAGUCCCCAACCUUGGAAGUCUUCAGGAAGAGACUAGACAGACACCUUGCUGGGCUCAUUUGAUCUCAGCAGUAUUCCUGCCCAGAGGAGCGGGACUGGACUUGAUCUUUUGAAGUCCCUUCUAGCCCUUAAUUUCUAUGAUUUCUAUGAUUUUAAACUAAGCAGUUCUGUCUGCCUAAAAUUGCUCCUACAGGUUUAGUUCUAUGCACAGUUCUUCUCCACAGCUUGGCCUAAACGGUUUAUACUGCUGCGUAAAAAGCCACAGUCCACCCUGUGUUUUUGGCAUUUCUGUGAUUAGUAACUUGAUCGGCAAAUAGGUAGGGUAUUAAUUGACAUACGCUUGACUGCCUGGAGAGCUCAGAGAGCUGCAUGACUUGCCAGGCUCACAGACAACUGCAGGUGCACAGACAGCCCCAGAUAAAGCAGGAAUGACAAUGACAUGUAUGGUGAUAUUUAGCUGCAUCACCAACCAAGGGUACAGGCAAAUGAACAAAUUGCAGCAUGCGAUCAGGGGGUGGGGAUUUACUGUGCAUCAGCCUCUCCAAGGUAAUUCUUUGCAUCUUGUUUCAUCAUGGGUUAAGCUGCUCCAGGUUAGCUCCCACUUCCUGUGGGAGGUAGGAGCAGGCACUUGGAGAAUUACCAAGGAACGAUGCACAGUAAGCCCCUGCCCCCUGCUAACUUGCUGUAAUCGGUUCGUUUGUCUGUACCCCACCUCCCUCCAGCUGGUUUCUCAACCCAACAGUUUCUGCUUUGUGAUCUACCCACUCACCCAGGAGUGCAAGGAAAAAGCAAAGCUGAUUCUCUCCAAUAGGGAUAGAAGGCUGGAUUGCGCAAAGGCAAGCACUUACGAUUAAACCCUCCUGAGGCUCAUCACGUCCUCGUGGAAAAGCUCAGUCCGUGUGCAGUGCUCAGCAGGAAGGAGAGCGCAGCCCAGAAGAGUAAGAUACGCUGCAAGUUGCUCCUCAUUUGGGUGCCACUUAGCAUGCGUCUACACUGGUGGGAUGCUGGUGCCAUUCAAGAAAGGGUAAAACAUCGUCUGCAAGCUCUGCUCCUUCCUUCUCCAGCAAACAAUGGCCAGAACACCUGCCUGGGCUGCUUAAUUGAAGUACCAUGUCAGAGGGAUCAAACUCCAAACGUUUCCAAGGCUUCAGGUUUCUGGGCUUAUUUAGCAGUAUAAACAAACAGCAUGGCGAGUUUUAUAUUUAUGUCAUAAUUAAAUCUGAGGAACGGCCUAUUGUGAUGAUUUGCAUCAGGUCCAGGAAGAAGGGGAAAAAAGAAUGGGAUGUAGUCAUAGUGAUACGUUUACUGUGCUGGAUCAUUAACCUAGGCAAACCACGGGCAGUGAUAUUACAAUUAAGAUAAGGCAAAGUCUCACACUAUGCCCCCCUUUGACACCAAUACUUCCAAUGGGUCCAGUCAUGUAAUAAUUUCCUACCCAGGUUGCUAUUCUGAUCCAUUCUGUGGUGGAGGUGGGACAUUAAAACAUGCUGAGCUGGGCUGGUGACUCGAACACAUUUGCCUGGGAGAUAUGGGACAGCUGCCUCAUCACCUGGCCCCCCAACCCAGCUAUGCAUACAGGCCCUUUGCUGGCAGGGUGAUCUGAGGUUGCUACUAAGCAAGGUAUUUAAGAUACGUGCAGGUGGGGGGGGUUUUUGUUUUUUAAUAUUUCCCCAUUAAUUCACAGGAGCUUUCUCAGCCCCUGGUAACUGGACAUAUGAAGAGGAAAGCUGUUGGUACCCUCAAGAUAUAAGAAAUUGUAGCAAAAAUUGCCUAGAGAACACGUGAGAACAGCUAGGCAGCUAUCAGGCUAUCAUGAUGACUGAUGCCUUCCUUGGGCUCCUCCAUCUGUUGUAAGCAUCUGCCUUUUGCCUAAUACUUCAACGGUGAGCUCUUGGGGAA